AGUGAACGCUGGCGGUAGGCCUAACACAUGCAAGUCGAACGGCAGCACAGUAAGAGCUUGCUCUUACGGGUGGCGAGUGGCGGACGGGUGAGGAAUACAUCGGAAUCUACUUUUUCGUGGGGGAUAACGUAGGGAAACUUACGCUAAUACCGCAUACGACCUACGGGUGAAAGUAGGGGAUCUUCGGACCUUGCGCGAUUGAAUGAGCCGAUGUCGGAUUAGCUAGUUGGCGGGGUAAAGGCCCACCAAGGCGACGAUCCGUAGCUGGUCUGAGAGGAUGAUCAGCCACACUGGAACGGAGACACGGUCCAGACUCCUACGGGAGGCAGCAGUGGGGAAUAUUGGACGAUGGGCGCAAGCCUGAUCCAGCCAUACCGCGUGGGUGAAGAAGGCCUUCGGGUUGUAAAGCCCUUUUGUUGGGAAAGAAAAGCAGCAGGUUAAUACCCCGCUGUUCUGACAGUACCAAAAGAAUAAGCACCGGCUAACUUCGUG
rnacentral:rRNA from 1 species